CUUUGAUAGAUGCUUGUGCUUUAUAAAAAUAUCAAGCUCAGAAAGAAAUAUCUAAAGCUUGCUUGAAUCCAGAAGUGAUUGCCACCUUAUAUAUCCUAAAAGCAAACGAUGAAAUUACUGGCUAAACUUCCAGGCAAUACAACCCUCUACUACAUGCAUGAUAGGACCUUGGGGUACUUGAGGAGCAGAUAGUCCCUCUGUGAUGGGAAGAACAACUAGGCACAGGACAUUUGUCUCUUCUGAGAUUAUCAAUCCUAACUCGUAGCUUUGAGGAAUGAAGGGAAUGCAUAAAGAUUCCAGAAAAAUACAUCACAUGACCAUUAUUUUUGGUUAUUAUUAACAAAGAAAAUAAGUGUAAAGUACCUAGAAGCCUCUCAGAUUCAAGCAGUGGGAAGCACACAGGAAGGAGUCCUCAUCUGAAGAGUUUAUAGUCAACACACAAUUUGGGAUAGGAAAAUAAAGACCAAGAUAACUCACUGGAAAGAGAAAUGCACUAGAAAGGACACAAAUUUAUGGCACCAUGUUGUAUCAUUUCAAUGAAUAAUUCACACAGCUAGAAAUUUCCUCAUGAAAUUGGGUGUAACAGCAUCAAAGUCCCUUGGUAAUUUUAGUCCCAAUGACUUUGCUAAGCCUCUUGUAUUUAACUCUUAUCUCUCAGCUCAAUCCCUACAGAAUGCUGCCAAAGUCUCAGAAACCAGAAGUCGGAGUCCCCAAAAGUGAGAAAUGUGCUUCUGUUCAACAAUGUAGUUCCUGUUCCACGAUCUUGCUUCUCUCACUAUCUCCAGAAGCGCAGCAAAAAAAACGUAGUCCAAGAGAUCAAAAGCAUCGAUGAUCUUGCCUACUUGUGUGCUGACAACGUGGAGACAGUGGAGUGUUUGAAACCACUGAGGUUGCAAGAACAUCUUUUCAGCUGAAUCUGAGAGCUGCUACGGGCUAUGAAGCACUCCUGGAAAACCGACAACCCUGCUGAGUGCGAAGGCAAUGCUGUAGGUGACGCUCUUAGCACAAAACAGGAAGAGCGGAAGGGCUAAGAAUUGAACUGUUGUGAGUCGUGCACGUCUCAGGACUCGGAGCCUGUAAACCAAGGUUGGAGGUGCUUUUAAAUCAUGGUAUAAUUCUCCCAGGCAGUCCAAUUUCAUCUCCGUGGGACUGAGUUCCUUUGCUCAGAGAUGCUGCUGACAGGGGUAGGAGCCAACUUUCAGCUCAGAUCCUGAGCUCCAAGACAGCUUCAAAGCUCAGGCUGAGUGACUGCUAGAAGCAGAACCAAGCUGUUUAUUGUAAACAGUCAAUAAGGCUGAGUUCUAGGACGAGUUUAAUCCCGACUAUUUGUGAAAGAAGAUGACCCUCUCUGCACAUCCAUUCCCCACCCACUGCACCAACAAUACUUUUCUGCCCUGCAAGAUCAUGAAAAACAAAAUUUUGUAGGACUCCCAGCUGCAAUAAUGACAGGGUCAUAGAUGUUCUGAACCUUAACAAGAUUGGGAAGAGGCUACUUAAUGAAUAAGUAUUUCAUUGUGAACAGCUUUUCCUCAGAAAAAGUUGUGUUGCUAACGAAUAUUUUAUUUUCUUUCAGAAAAACGAUUUGCAAAAUCCCAUUCAAGAGAUACAGGAACUUCUAAGGAUAAACUGUGAACUCUUAGCUGUGCAGGGAGAAGCUGAAUUGCUCGAAGUGUAAGCAUUUCCUGAUGAGCACCCUCAAGCAUAAAACAGUGAAUAUCUAGGUGUUUGUAAGCGUGAAACCAUGCUUGCAGACAGCUUGGAUGAGUGCAUAGCCUGUUAUGAUGCCCAGCUGAGUUUCCAGGAGACGUCUGUUUCCCAGUACAUGGUAUAAGAUUUUAGCAGCUUGAAUGGAAAAAGCAUCCCAUUCUAAGCUGUAGAUCUAUAGCUGCUACUCUUAGUAGUAAGAAAAUGCAGUUGUUACCUGGGCUUUGGGCAGAUCUUUUUGUACUGUACUGCCUGGUCUGGCUCAGUGAUUCACUGAAAAAACCAUUCCUCAAAUGUGAACCAUCAUUUCAGUAUUGUGAUUUUUCAGAAUUCUGAUCCACUUCACCAAGAGAAUGUCUCAGGCAACAACUGAUGCAUUGCUUGAUAUUGCAAAGAACAUGACAGAAUGUGUUAAGUGCUGUCAGGUACCUGAGGAGGGACACAUACCUUAUUCGGAGCCACAGUUGGACGUGGAGCUUCAUGAAACAUGCAAGAAUCAUGAGGCUGUACCUGUAAGUGAUGGAGUCACUCACUGUUGCAGAGAAUCCUGUGCUCACAGGAGACCAUGUUUUUCCACCUUGGAUGAGUGGAAGAAAGUUUUGUACCAUUACCCUUUGACCCUAACAUAUUUAUAUCAGGCAAAAAAUUGUUUACUGCUCCAGCAGAAACACGGUAUGCAGGCCAACACCUGUAAGAUGCCUAUUAGUUCAGUAGAUAUCACCUUAGAUUAUGGCAGAGAGAACAUGCAGUUUGUUAAACUCAGGAUCACCUGCUGGAACUAUGCUAGAAUCAAGUCUUCAACCUAAUUUACCAACUACAAUUAUUCUGAGCAAAGCCAAGCCUUCCAACCCAAUUUCAGCAAUUCUGCAGGUGGUUAUUGAAACAAAUCUUCAGUGGGUCCAAUUGACUCAAAAUAGAGAGUUUAUGAGUACAAUUCAUUCACUUCACAGUUGAUGCAUGAAGUUCUGCUUGUUUUUUCUUUUUGAGGAUGAAUUGGAACAUCCACUUUUUUAAAGCUUCCAUAGGCUAAUAAAGACAUUAGUGCAGUGAUAUUCUCAAUUGAAAGAUACAAUUAUUAGCACAGGCCAGUUCAUGACAUAGAAUACCGAAAUGCAGGGAAGGCAGAGCUUCUUACCAUGUUAGUAUCUCAGUUGGCUAUGCUACAGUUUGUAUCCUAGCAGAAGCAGAUCUUACUGAAGGCCUUAACUGAAAACACCAUUGUGGAUAUGUAAGUGUACUCAAGAAUAGCAUUCCACCACUCCUUCCGCAGUGAAGGAAGAGAAAGGAAGAUGAUGGUGGGAGAAACAGAAGUGUAACGGAAACAGAGCCACAGGUGACAGUCACAAUGUGUGCCCUUCUGAACAUACAGUACACUCUGUACACACACACUCAUGACUACAAAAGAUUACAUAGCAAAUGUCAGUGAAUACUUUUAAAUCAAGUAGUUCAGCCAGUUAGAGUGGCUGUUUGUACAGAUGGUUUUGUAAUACAUUUGCCCAUGAAUAAUAAAAACAAUGUUUAUGUA